AAUAAGUAUUAUUUUACACCAUUAAUGUCCAACAUUUAACCGUUUAUCUCAUUUAAAAAUUUUCUGUGAAUAAUAUUUUUAUUAUUGUUAGAUGAUAAAACAUUAGCAGUACUGUAUAACUAAUUAUUUUUAAUUUUUUUAUAAAUUUUGUAGAUAAGACGGACAAUCACGUUGUACACGGGUGCCCAUGGCUAUACUCAUU
rfam:Oryza rufipogon genomic scaffold, chr02